rnacentral:rRNA from 1 species
GACAGAGGUGCCAAGCGUUAGGCGGAAUCACUGGGCUUAAAGCGUGUGUAGGCGGGCGAUCGAGUACCUUGUGAAAUCCCACGGCUCAACCGUGGAACUGCUGGGUAUACUGGUUGUCUUGAGCCAGCUAGGGGCGAGCGGAACAGACGGUGGAGCGGUGAAAUGCGUAGAUAUCGUCUGGAACGCCGGAAGGUGAAAACAGCUCGCUGGGGCUGCGCUGACG